rnacentral:misc_RNA from 1 species
AAACCUGGUGUCUACCUGAUUUGAGGUCGAAUUUGGAAGAAGUUUUGGAGUUUGUACCAAUGAGUGGAAAAAACCUAUCCAUUAGUUUAUACUCCGCCUUUCUUUCAAGCAAACCCAGCGUAUCGCUCAACACCAAACCCGAGGGUUUGAGGGAGAAAUGACGCUCAAACAGGCAUGCCCUUUGGAAUACCAAAGGGCGCAAUGUGCGUUCAAAGAUUCGAUGAUUCACGAAUAUCUGCAAUUCAUAUUACUUAUCGCAUUUCGCUGCGUUCUUCAUCGAUGCGAGAACCAAGAGAUCCGUUGUUGAAAGUUUUGACUAUUAAAUAAUCGGUUGACAUUAAAUAAAAUUUGGUUGAGUUUAAUCUCUGGCAGGCCCCAUAUAGAAGGCCUACCAAAGCAAAGUUUUCAAAAAAAGAAAAACACAUGUGUAAGAAAAAAUGCAGUUAAGCACUUUUCAUUCUGUAAUGAUCCUUCCGCAGGUCACCCUACGGAAGG